GGUGGUGGCAUGCCCGAGAAGGAGCCAGCAAAGCUGCCACCUCCCAAGCGACCUCGUGUCGCAGGAGAGUCCAGCAGUGUGGACUGAGAUCACUUUGAGCUUCGCCCUGGUGAUCCCACCCAUGCUGAGUGCACCCACUGCAAGGCGCUGGUCAGCAGAGGCAAGGACCCUAAGCACUUCACUACCUCGGGUCUGUUGUUGUAGCUGCGCCAGCGGCACCCAGGUGGGGAGACCUCUGCUGGCAGUGGCAGUAGGCCCAGUGCCUCGACUAACAGUAGUGGCAGCAAGCGGCCAGUGGCUCCUGCUCCUAGGCAGGAAAAACUGACCGAUCGUCAUCAGUGGAUGCAAUCUCUGGGAAAGCGGUCUGAUCACCCAAAAGCACAUCUCGUGGCUUGGGCCAUUGCUGAGAUGAACGCUUUGGAUGACCAGCCGUUUUCCAUUGUUGAGAAUGUCGGCUUCUGCCGUCUGCUCCAGCUGCUUUCCCCAGAUUAAAAGAUCCCCUCAAGGAGCACCUUCAGCAGGAGGGUGGUCCCGUCCUUGUACCAUGCGUGCAGGGAGGCUGUGUUGGCCCGGUUGCGUGCAGCUGGGCCCAGCACCAGUGUGCAUUUCACUGCGGAUAUCUGGACUAGCCGCAGCGGGCUGCACACUGCCUUCAUGUCCCUGACAGCCCACUGGUGGGGGCAUGGGGGUGAGGGGACAUCUGGCUCUGCUGGCGCUGUAUCCAGCUCCUCCCAUGCAUGCACGCCUUCUUGGGCAGUGUUGCAUGUGGAGGCGAUGGAUACAGACCACAGGUCGGGUGAGUUGGCCGCCAUCAUGGACCGCUAGGUGGGGGGUUGGCUGACAGUGGAGUCAAGCCUCUGACGAGGCUUCAUGGUGACAGACAAUGCAGCUAACAUCAGCAAGGCAGCUAGGCAGGUUUACGGUGUGAACAUGGCAUGCGUUGCGCACACCUUGAACCUGGUGGUGCAGGAUGCGCUUGGGCUCAAGGAGGCGGCGAAGUCCAAGCUGCGUGCGAAGGGUGUUAGUUAAGCUAAGGAUCCUGCUGCUCCCGUGGCCGCUCUUGUGGAGCAGUGCCGCAAGAUAGCGGGUGGAGCAUGUGGAGUACAAAGUUAACAAUCAAUGGCGAGACAUUUGGACAGGUUAGCAUUAGAAGAGACAUAUUCCAAGGGGACUCACUAUCCCCUCUGUUGUUUGUAAUUGCCAUGACUCCAUUUUCACAAAUACUAAACAAAACAGGCCUUGGAUACCAAACAUCUAAAAGAUCAAGUCAAAUCAACCAUCUGCUCUAAAUGGAUGAUCUGAAGUUGUAUGGAAAGUCCCAGUCAGAAAUCGAAUCACUGUUAAACACUCUCCGUAUAUUCAGUAGCGAUAUAGCAAUGGAGUUUGAACUAGACGUGCUGCAUUAAUAAUGAACAGAGGAAAAAUAAGAAAAACAGAAGGAAUAGAACUGCCCAAUGGAAGCAAGAUCAAGAACCUGGAAGACAAAGAACAUUACAAAUACUUGGGCAUUCUCCAGGCUGAUAACAUUGCACACACUGAAGUUAAAAGAAAAAUUGGAAGUGAAUACAUCAGGAGAGUUAGAAAAAUCCUCAAGUCCAAACUCAAUGGCGGGAACACCAUACAAGCCAUAAACACCUGGGCUAUACCUGUUAUCAGAUACACUGCAGGAAUAAUAGACUGGACCCAGGCAGAGCUGGAGACGCUAGAUCAUAAGACCAGGAAAAUAAUGACCAUCAAUCAUGCUCUGCACCCCCCACAGUGAUGUAGAUAGGCUAUACCUCUCUCACAGCUCAGGUGGAAGAGGAAUGCUGCAAGUCCAUCAAACGGUAGAGGAGGAGAAAAGAGGCCUUGAAGAAAAUAUCAAGGACAGUUAAGAAGAUGCACUUCAAAUGGUCAAUAACGCAAAACUAUUCAACACCAAUGAAAGAAAGCAGGCCUACAAGAAAGAACAAGUCAAGAACCGAGCAGAAAAACGGGAAAAGAAGCCACUGUAUGGUCAAUAUUUGCACAAUAUAAGUGGAAAAUCAGACAUCACCAAGACCUGGCAAUGGCUUCAGAAUGGUUACUUGAAGAAAGAAACAGAGGGUUUAAUACUGGCUGCACAAGAACAGGCACUAAGAACAAAUGCAAUAAGAGCAAAAGUCGAAAAAUCCACAACAAACAGCAAGUGCCGCCUUUGGAAAAAAGCAGAUGAAACAGUGGACCACCUAAUCAGCUGUUGUCAAAAGAUCGCACAGACUUACUACAAACAAAGGCAUGACAAGGUAGCAGGGAUGAUACACUGGAAUAUCUGCAAAAAAUACAAGCUACCUGUAUCCAGAAAUUGGUGGGACCAUAAAAUUGAAAAAGUUGAAGAAAAUGAAGAUGUAAAAAUAUUAUGGGACUUCCGACUACAAACAGACAAGCAUCUGCCACACAAUACACCAGACAUAACUGUAGUCGAGAAGAAAGAAAAACAAGUUAAAAUAAUCGACAUAGCAAUACCAGGGGAGAGCAGAAUAGAAGAAAAAGAAAUAGAAAAAAUCACCAAAUACAAAGAUCUACAAAUUGAAAUUGAAAGGCUGUGGCAGAAAAAGACCAAACUAAUCCCAGUGGUAGUUGGCGCCCUGGGUGCAGUUCCCAAAGACCUUGAAGAGCACCUCAACACCAUAGGGGCCACAGAAAUCACCAUCAGCCAGUUACAAAAAGCAACUUUACUGGGAACAGCCUAUAUUCUGCGAUGAUAUCUAUAACAACAGCAACAACAUUGACCAUAAAAUUCAACCAUCCCAGGGAAGGACUCGAUGUCUGGAUAAAACAAACCAGUCAAUAACACCUGUUUGACUGUGUAAAUAAAUAAUAAUAAUAGAACUUGAAGUUACCCAGUGGCAGUAGAUUCAGGACAGACUGCUUUGCACAACGCAUCUUUACGUUGCGGGAUUCCCUUCGAGAUGUCGGGAGUGCCACUGACUUCACUUAAGAAUUACGCCAAUUAAUGGAAGAUAGGUCUGUCGAUAGACAGGUGAACUCUGGGAAGCCCCGUGAACGAAUGCAGGUAUCCCUCUGAGGGCUGGAUGCUGAGGAAAAACAGAAUAAAUAACAGGGAGAGGGGGAGAUGACUUGCCCCAGCUUGUGCCCCAUUUUAUCCUCCAAUGCAAGUCUCUGGAAAAAAGAUACUUUCCUCCUGCUCAGUUGCCUAUGUGCUGUGAGCUUUGGAGUUGCUUCUUGUGAAUGAGUGAGUUUUUUCAGAGAAUUGGAAUGGAAAGGGACAGACUGUACUUGCUGCUUAUAUGUCUGACGUACAACUGUGCUAGUGGUUGGUUGGUGGGUUGGGUAUUUUUCUACCUCCCCUUUAUGAUACUAUUUGGAAAGAAAGUCACUUCUGCUGUAUUAGAUUGACUGGCCUGGAUCUUGUGUCUUUCUUUCUUUCUUUCUUUCUUUCUUUCUUUCUUUCAUGACGCCUAGAACUACUGAUGGAUGGGCUAAAAGCCCAAAUUCCAAAACAGCCAUCCCAAUUCCUAGAGGAAAGGAACAUAGGAAACUGCCAUAUACUGAGUCAGACCAUUGGUCCAUCUAGCUCAGUAUUGUCUACACAGACUGACAGCGGCUUCUCUAAGGUUGCAGGCAGGAACCUCUCUCAGCCCUAUCUUGGAGAAGCCAGGGAGGGAACUUGAAACCUUCUGCUUUCCCAGAGCUGCUCCAUCCCCUGAGGGGAAUAUCUUAACAGUGCUCACACAUCAAGUCUCCCAUUCAUAUGCAACCAGGGCAGACCAUGCUUAGCUGUGAGGAAAAGUCAUGCUUGCUACCACAAGACCAGCUGUCCUUGUAGACCAGGUUUAUGUGUCUGAUGUACAACUUUGCUAGUGGUUGGUUGGUGGGUUGGGUAUUUUUCUAUCUCCCCUUAAUGAUACUAGUUGGAAAGAAAGUCACUUCUGCUGUAUUAGAUUGACUGGCCUGGAUCAUGUGACAUUCUUUCUUUCAUGACAGGCUAGAACUACUGAUGGAUGGGCUAACAGUCCAAAUUCCAAAACAGCCAUCCCAGUUCCUAGAGGAAAGGACUCUCUCUCCCUCUCGUUUUAUUGAAUGAAAUGGCUUAACUUCCCGAUAGACUUACCUGGAGUCCGUGAUGAGUCGGAUGAGGGAGAACAAACUGAGGCUGAAUCCAAGGAAGACAGAGCAUCUUUCACCAACUACAAAUGAAAAGAUUCCUAAGUUAAUGCAAACACUACACUGUGCUGCCAAUAGAGUGCAGCCCGUCAAGCUCGUCACUCCCACCCCAAUAUCUCAACUGUCUAAAAUCACAAAAAAAUCUUAGUCAUCAGCUCUGACUCCAAAAAAGGUGAUUUUGGUAUUUGCAGACCCUAAGCCUGCACAGUGAAAAAGCGGGGAACAUUAUGCUCCCAACAUAGACUCGAGAGACCGCUCCAUUGCCAACAAGAGAGACACCAGAGAAGUCACACCAAGAUCACCCUCCAAUCCUGAACGUGACUCCAACCCAGCUCAAAUGGAGGAUUAUACCAUCAACCCUAGCUGGUCUUCUCAACACCGACUGAAAAGCGUUCCCUGCACGAUACCGACUAUAUAGAAGAGACCCUACGUGAUACCAACGCUCUCCGGGUCACACGGAAUCCCCUCACCAUCUGUACUCUCUACUCUCCUAAACGCUAUUCCAUAGGAUCCAGUGUAUUGCUACUGAGAACGUCGACAUUGAGACUACUCUCCAUCUGAUCAUGCCUGAUCGUUCCACUUACAUCUUCGAUGACAGAUCUGUCAUUGAUGAUAGAGAACGCUAUCUCCACCCUUGCUCUUGGGCUCCACAUCGAAACCAAUAUCCGGGGAGAUUGGACCAUCCAGACUCUCGGUCCUGAUCACACUCUCCUCAGCACUGCAGGUCUUGGUCUCAGUCAAGAGAUAAGAGAACUCAACCACCUAAGCAGCUGGACUUUGACCUCCUACCACCGGAUUCCUCGACUGAAGAAUCCGCCUCAGAGGAAGAUGCAGAAACAGCCCUGGACAUCGCAUGGGGUUCCACACCUUCAGAUCUAAUUGAAGAUCCAAAGCCUCUGCCUCCCUCGGAGUACCUGAAGCUCUUCACUGACCAAGUGGCCUAUAUGGCUACCUCUUUAGGUAUCCAGGUUAACGAACCUCCUAAAUCUCCUCCUGAUCCCAUUUUUGGGCCAACUGAUGCUGGAACUUUGCACUCUUUCUUCCUACCACUGAACUCUGCUUGAAUGGACAUUGUCAACACUUGCUGGGCAUUUUUGCCACCUACCUCUCAGAAGCUGGAAGGUUUUUUACAAGGUUCAAGCCAGGGACAAUCAGUUCCUUCUGUGCCAUCCUACUCCUCACUCCAUUAUAAUGGAAUCUGCUCAGUCCUGUUCAAAGAACAGAAUCCAUUCAGCAGCAUCUGACACAGAAGGCAGAAAAGCAGAUGCCCUUGGGCCUGUCCCCUUUCCAAACAGCUCCUCCAUAUACGUCUCGCCAUGCCACUGACUGUUCAUUCAAUGCUUGCUGCAGCAACUCCUCGCUGGCACACAUGGAUGUGUUCAUCUACAUUGGCACCUGGAACAAGAGGAAGAAGAAGAGAGAAUUUGACCUUUUGAUGGCCAGGCUCUUGUUGGAAAGGAGACAAAAUGGAAAGGAGACAAAAACUGAAAAAUAUGGCAAGACCUAUGACCUCCCAACAACCUGCCUACAAUUCCUCAAGGGGCAACAAAUCCUCUUCUUCUGCUGCUGCUAUAUCAUUUUGUCCUUCCAGCUACUCUCAAUCAACUAACCGUUCCUUUCGUCCUUCUAGGACCUCCCUAUUUCAGAAAAGACAGGUCUCCUUCGUAAAAUCACAAUCUUCCAAAUCUCAACCACCAGUGCAUAGCAAGUGCUCGGGACUCAAGCAGCUGCAAAUAUUAUUCUUUGAAGCACUCCACACACAAAUCGGGCUUUGUCUCCCAAAUUCUAGCUUAUCUCGGUGUAUUUCUGGGUUUUUUAAAUGCUGCUUUUAAUGAGAUUUUCUCCAGAGCAAAUAGGGAGAGGCAUUGACGUAGAAUCAUUCACAUGAUAAGAGGGAUAUAAUCUUUUAGGAAUGCAGAUAGAGGCUUUAGAAAUCUCUCUCCCCACCCCGCCAUUGGCUAGAAGGAAAAUACGGAGGCACGCGAUGUGAACUUGCACCAAAAGAAAACCUGAGAGCAGAGGGGAGGGGCUGCUUCCCUCCUUGUCACGAGUGCGAUUCAUUGUGUCUUCACUCAACACUGACCCCGAAGCAUGAAGCCAGGUGCGAAUAACUCCCUGGCCUUCCAGGAUUUUCUAACGGCUUUACAUGUUUUCGUUGUUCAUGGUUUUAGACUGUUUUUAAAAUUGUUUUGUAAGGAUUGUUUUUAAAAGUGCCUAGGUAAUGAGAGCAGCAGUAGCCAUCUUGCUGCCCCUCGGGCAUCCCAAUAAUCUGCCCAUUGAGGGAACUGCCUGACCUUGCCUCAUGGAAGGACCGCCCUUACCUGUCAUCACUGCUCCAUUAAGGGUGUGGAGAGCUCACUUUACAUAGGCCUCUGGAUUAAAGGCAGCAAAGUUAGUUGUCCUGUGUGUCCAUCAGGUUAACAUGUUCCUUUUGUGAUAUAGUCUGGGAUCCUGUGUAACUUUGUGGCAAAGUUUGUGUGAGAUGUCUAUGGGUGGUUUUGUUUGAUUUGAAAACCAAUCCAGAUCCCAUACUUUACAAUAGCCUGCGGCAAUGUGUUCAUUUUUGGAAAGGUUGACGUCCUGACCCCCAGUUCAUUCUUGUGCUGAAGAGUGUGUGUGUG